rnacentral:lncRNA from 1 species
CAACUAAGGCUGAAGCACCAGACCAUACCAUACCCAUUUACCUCAGAGUAAGCUCCAUUUAAUUAAAUGGAAAUUACUUUUGAGUAGACAUGUAGAGGACUUGUACCAUCAUAUUUGCGCUUAAGCCAGUAUACAGUUACAUUCCAUCUGGUGGUGGUGUGUAGCAAGGUCUCUCAAGCUUACUUACCUAAUGGAGCUCAUAGAAGUGACUCAUUAAGUCUACUGAAGCCUUGGCGGUGACUUGUUGCAUCUUAAUCUAGAAGUAUGAAAUACAUCUAUGAUGUAAAAUAUCAACUGUAGUUUGAAACAAACAGUUAACACCAUUGUUUUUCCAUAGAAGAAUGGCUAUGCUAAUGAAAAGUCCAAUAAUUAGCAUUUUAACAGUAUCCUCCUAUCUGCUGUCUACUCAGAAGUAAGCCUACUGAAUUUAAUGGGAGUUAUUGGCAGGUACUUGUGUAUAGGCCUGUAUCCUGAAGAGGUUUUCUUUCUUUUCUUUAAAAGGUCUGUUAAUACCUAAAAAUAUACCUUGCUUUAAAACAUAUUUCAUUUUUCUUUACAUUUUUACACACAUGCAGAAUGGUCCUCACUGGCAACGAAUCAUUUCCCACCAAACAGAGCUUUGCAGCAGAUUAACAAGCUAUGAUCCCCAAUAGGGUGAAAUCCAUCUGUGUACAGACCGGUGGCCUAAAUGCCUAUAUUUUUUAAACAAAAAACCCUUAACAGGUGGUUCUAUUUUGUUUUGAUAGGCUCCUUUCACUUUCUUGAAGAAUCAAACUAAGUAGACUAAAUUAAAAUGUCUGAAGACAGAAAAAAAAUCAGUGAAGAGCAGCUGUGGGAGGGGCAGAUAAAUUCUUUUUUUCUGUGUUUUUUUUUUAAGGACCAGCAAAUGAGUGGUGAAGUCCUAUGUGAUGUGACUGUUCAGAGUGGCAUAUGUAUCAAGUGUGGAAUAGUGUUCUUUGCUCAUAUUUUCUGACUGCUUCUUGCUGGGAAUGAUGGGAUUUGUCCUCUUAAAUGAAUAGUGGGUACACAGAAUUGAUAAAUACUGUGAAACUUUUAUUCAGGUUUUUUGUUCCACUCCAUUGCACCUUUCCGCAGACAUCUUGUUGACUCUUGUUGCCACCCUUGUAGAACUGUGGGACAUAGCAGGAGCUUGCUUUGCUUAGAAGAAACGAUAAGUCUAGCUUGACUGCAUAGUAAUAAUUUCACCUUCCCACUCUUGUAUUAAGUGCUUAUCCCACUGGAAGUCAGCAAUCUGCUUUGAAGUUCUUGGCUUCAAAAGAGUCACCACAUGAAACCUAUUCAAACAAGCAGGCGUCCCCCUAAAUAGGAAAACAUCCUCUGCAUCUGACUCUUAAUUUCUGCAGUUGAUAAAAUGCCUUUGAGCAUCAAUAGGAUUUUAAUAUUACCAUAUUUUGUUGCACAACUAGGAGGGCAAAGGCUCGCAGGCUGGUCUUUGGAGGUUGCAUCCCUUUUUUAAAAAACAGGAUGAAACAAUUGGAGGAUGGUUUUGAUUACCUGCUGUCAAAUUAUUCCCAUAAUUUCCUCACUGUUUCGGCAUUCCUGCUAGCAGGUCAUUGCAAAUUCAAGACAAUGAACUAUCAAAGCAAAUUUGCUUCACUGUAAGGCAGAUUGUAAACAGGUGGGGAGAGGCGACGGGGAGAGGAUAGCAGUUUUGUACCUGAGCAGUUCUAGAGGCCCAGAUCAAAUAGAGAAAACAAUGUGCAAGUCCAAAAUGCAGAUUUAUAAACAUUUUAUUAGCUUAUUUUAUUUCAUAAGGUCUAUCUGCCACUUGAUUGCAGUAAAACAUCUAAGCAGUUUACAAUAAAUAUUACAAUUAUGAAUAAAAACAAUUGAAAACAUUUCAAAGAUAAUUAAACCAACAGUAAAAUAAAUUAAAUAUCUGAGUGUCUGGCUCAGCAUCAUUAACUUGAGCAGUACAUAUUUUAGAACACAGAAUUAUUCAUUUUAAAACAAGAACAUCACUGUUGAGUUACCAUGUUAGACUGGGGGGCUGGCCACCACUUUUGACUGUUAAUAAAUUUAUUCUUGUUCAAAAGAGAUAGCUGGGACCUGUUCUUGUACGUUGGUUAUUUGCAUUUUAAGAUGGCCUUUGAGAAGCUUUUGAAAAUGUAUUAUUUGCUCAUUCAUAAAACAUAACAAAGUGGCUUACAAAAUGUAAUAAAACCAAAAUAUAAAUAUCUAUAAAUCAUAAUUAAACCAACAAUAAAUUUUAGUUGUUUUAACGGGGGCUGGGAAUCAUAUUGUGAAGGCUUGUCUAAACAGUGCAGUUUUCAGAAGAACCAAUGACAGCUUAGGCUGAGUGAGAUGAACUGCAGCAAGGUCACCCUGGAUGUUUUAUGGAAAAAUGAGGAUUUGAACCGUAGUCCUACAUAGUCUAACAUUCUGACCACUGUACAGUUCUCAGGGAACUGUUGACAGAUCCUACUUGUCUUUGAUAGAUUCUCUUUCACUUGAAAAACCAACCUGUAGCCAUAUUUGGGUGUUUUGCUUCCAUGUAAAUCACAUAAAUGAGCAGGACAAGUGAGGAUGAAAGUGCUAAGUUCAACCCUAUUGUGGAUAUUAAUUUUGUGCAGUUUGAAAUGACUUGAAGCAUAAGAACUGACUCCUUUUGGAAAUAAAGCAUUGUCCAGACCCAAUAUUAUUCCGUUUUACUUACAAAACUUUCUUUAAAACAGAAUUAAAAUAUGAAACAUACAUAAAAAACAUACAUAUGACAUCUUGUACUGUCCAGUAAAGGCUCAGCAUCUUAUAAAAUAUGUAAUAAUCCAAACAGACCUAUAAGCAAAGGUAUCUCUCUAACUGCAACCAUUUUGCCUGGAGCUGUUUUCCUUGAGAGUUUCAUUUACAUCCUCGCUCCACAGUCUUGGGAUAAAAGACUAAGACUCAAAGACAACUCUCUUCAAAAUGGAGAUGUGCAAGCAAAUACCUUUGUCACAUGAUCUAAGGUUACUCAUUCACGUACGGUUACCAUAUGUCUGGGAAUUCCCAGACAUGUCCUCUUUUCGGGAUCCUACAUGCCCAUCCGGGGUUUUACAUUUUAAAACAAAUAUCCUGGAUUUUGGGUUUAAAUUUUGUUUGCGUGGCUCUGGCUGCGGUUGACCCAGCCUUGGGCUUACACUCUGGUGACUUGGGCUCUGGCAACCCAGGCUCUGGCUCUGGCUCUGGCUCAGUGGUGGAGCUAUUGGACAAUUGGACUAAAAAAGCUUAACAACUUUUUUUUUUACCUCUUGAACUAUGACAACCCUAUAUUCACGUGAUAGCUAGCAGGAAACAACAACUAGUUAAUUAUCAACUCGGCAAGAGCUCAGAGUCCCUUAGAAAACUACUGUGGAAAAAUCCCAUAUUAGCCAAACACAUUUAGCCAUUUUCUAUUUUAAACCUUAAUUACUACUCAGGUAUUUUCCCAUUUUUGUGCCAAACCAAUUAUACUUAACACACCUUCCAUGCCACUUAUCCCCAUCACUCUGCAAAAGUUGGAUGGCCAAUUCUGUCAGGGAGGAGGAGUCUCCCAUACUCAUGGAUGCUCCCAGACAGGGAUAGCUGUGUAUGCAGGGUUUAGCAAUGAAGGGGCAGUAGUUGCCUGCUCACAUGUAGGAUUUGCACACAAGCAGCACAUACAGAAAUCUGGGCUUCUCAGCAAGAGGUAGUGCAUGUGUGAGAUACAAGUUCUGCAGCUUGCCCUGUUAACCAGCCCAAAGAUUUCACAAAAUAUCUGGCUUGUGGAUUUUUGUUCAAAUGAGCAAUCCUAUUUGCCAUCAUUGCUUAACAAGCCAGAAAGUUUGUGAAAUCUUUGGCUGGUGGACAAGACAAGCAAAUAUUCUUAAAAUAUACACUGAAAAUAUAACUGAACUCUUUUGUUUACAAUAAUGCACAACCAUUUUGUUUCUUUCCUGGGCUCUGUAGGGUGACUUGUUCAUCAUCUAGCUCUACAUGCUCUUCCUCCUGAUACUUUUUUAUAUUGUCAGAUCCUGCCAUGUCCAUUCAAAGCUAAACCUGCCUAAAAUGAUCUAAAGGAUAACAAAUCUGCUGUGCUGUGAGAGAACAAUCUUUAUUGAAAACCACAAGGUUUCCAAGGCACUUGCAUAAUAGAAAUUCAGUCUCCAGUCAUCUGAGUGCAAACAGCGCAAGCAGCAUAUCAUGGAGUCCCACAAAUUGUCCUACGAAAAGGAAGAUUGCAGUAGAAAGCGAGCUCUCUGUAUAGAAACUUAGCAAAUAUAUUAAUCCUGCCCGCUGUGUGAAUCCCCUUAGGAGAAAAAAUGCAUACGAAUGAGGAUGUACAUUAAAGCAGAUACUAACAAUGAUUACGUUCAAUCUCACUUGGAAAAUGCAUUCAUUUUAGAAUAUGACAGCUGGACUCAGCUGUCUGCUGUGCAAAUUUGGAAAGUCUUUCUAACACCAAAGUGUUGACUCUGGAGCUAUGAGAAAUAGCAGUCCUGGUUCCUAAGUGCUCUUGAGAGAUGUUCAGCUGUUUAAUUGUUGGGUGUGGUAUUACACACACAGAGAGAGACACACCUACCUUUAUCCCAUUGCAGGACCCAAGGUGGCUCACAGAUCAAACUAAAAAUAUAAAUAUUUCUUUGAAAAAACAUUCAGUAAGUAACCCUAUGCAAACAGCACUGAAAACUCUUGAAACCAUUUAAAAGCACACAUACAACACCCACACCUGGAAGAUUUAUCCACAACAAUCAGUUGGUGGCCAAAGUUCUUUCAGAACCACAAAAAUAUUUGCCGGUUGGUAAAAGGAAAACAGAGAAGGGCCCAAAUUUGCCUCAUGUGGAAGGGAGUUCUGCAAUCUAGCAGUCACUCAGAAGGCCAUCUCUUUUGUCCUCACCAAGCAUUCCUGUGGAGGUGGUAGGAUGAAGAGAAAUGUCUUCUCAGAAGAUCUCAAAGCCCAUCCACACUCACACAAGUCCUUCAGAUCCCAAGUAUUUCUUUGAAGGCCUUUGAAGUAAACCUCCAUAUUCUCUUAAUUAAACCAGUCUUACUUGGCACCCACAUACAAAACUAGAAAACCAAAUAAAGAGUUUGUUUGACACCGUGAGUCACAUAAAGAUGAAUAGCUACAGAGAUUCUGUAUAUUCUGCCAGUUAAAAUGUAAAUUCAUACUCUCCAUUGUACAUUUCAAAUGAGUUUUAUCAAACAUUCCAUUCUGAAAACACUUUUAUGAGUUCUGUUAAUCAUAAGCUAAGUAAACAUAUUUCAGCUGUGAUAUAUUACUAUGAAUGUCAGAAACAAGAAAUUGCCAGCAUUUGCCAUCAAAUGUUGAUAGUCCUUCCAGAAGAACAAUAAAACUAACCUCAAUUUGCUGCAGUUUUUGACAUUUAUCUGUUUAGGGUGAGCUCCACAGAGCUUCUUAGGUCCAAGUGCUUCUGUGCAUACUGCAGCUUUCUAGUUAGUUUGAAAUCCAUUUAUUUCUGUGUUCAGCUGAAAAAGCUUCCGAAAGACCUUACGAAAAGGAAAUAAAAAGUAGACAGUACCUGCCUGCAGGCUUACAGUCUAAAAGGCUUGACACAACAGGAAAAAGGGAUGAGGAAAAUAAACAAACUCAGGCACCACGUCUUCAGUUUACAAAGUAGUUCUCAUAGUGAACAGCAGAAACUAGGUACUUUUUUGUACUUUUCUCUGUCAAUUAGUAAGAAAGAAGCAUGGACAUUAUCAAAGGGGUGGGAAAAUUUCAGUGAAAUUCUCAUGGCUCAGAUGUAUUUGAGUAUUCCUUUCCUUCAUUCUGCAAAUCCUAUCUCUAGAGGUUUGCACUCUGUAGCCUUCCCGAAAGCCCUUGGAUGUCCUCAGCUGAGCAUUUCUGUAAGUGAGGGAAAGCUGGCACCUGCACAUGGCAACUAUUCUUUCUUGUUUUUAAGGAAGGUCUUCCUUUAAACACAAAAUCAGUGAGUACAUCAGUCUCAGGCACUUGGAAGCCAGGCUUCAUCCUCUUCAGUUAAAGCCCAAGGGAGGACACCAUGAGGUAAAUCCUCCUAUGGGACUUAUGUGAAUCAGGAAGUCCAGGCAGCUGAGGAGCCUUCAGAGUGUUGAGGAAAUAUUUAGUGGAAAAAUGAAAGAGGAAAAACCAUGCCACUCUUAGCCACUUUGUAAAGAUUCAGAAAGCUCAACCUCACCCCCACUGAAAUUCUGCAGAAAGGCAGAACAAUGGAAGCCUUUUUGUGGAAGAAGAAAACGUGAAAAAUUAGAGAACAGGUUUUGAAGCAGUACUAAUGGAAACAGUUUAGGGAGAGGAGCCUGAUGCUACUGGUCUUUCAACAAUGCCAGGAAAUGGCUCUGUUUCCCAUCUUUGAUGCAGUCUGAUGGGAUAACUUGCCAAGUGAAUGCUAUACGUUGUUGGUUAUUAUAUGUCCCUAAUGUUUGCAGAAUGGAUUUGCAGU